CCUACGGGAGGCAGCAGUGGGGAAUAUUGGGCAAUGGAGGAAACUCUGACCCAGCGACGCCGCGUGCGGGAUGAAGGCCUUCGGGUUGUAAACCGCUUUCAGUAGGGAAGAAGCGAAAGUGACGGUACCUACAGAAGAAGCACCGGCUAACUAUGUGCCAGCAGCCGCGGUAAUACAUAGGGUGCAAGCGUUGUCCGGAAUUAUUGGGCGUAAAGAGCUCGUAGGUGGUUCGUCACGUCGGAUGUGAAAAUCUGGGGCUCAACCCCAGACCUGCAUUCGAUACGGGCGAUCUAGAGUGUGGUAGGGGAGACUGGAAUUCCUGGUGUAGCGGUGGAAUGCGCAGAUAUCAGGAGGAACACCAAUGGCGAAGGCAGGUCUCUGGGCCAUUACUGACACUGAGGAGCGAAAGCGUGGGUAGCGAACAGGAUUAGAUACCCUGGUAGUCCACGCCGUAAACGGUGGGCACUAGUUGUGGGAACCUUCCACGGUUUCUGCGACGCAGCUAACGCAUUAAGUGCCCCGCCUGGGGAGUACGAUCGCAAGNUUAAAACUCAAAGGAAUUGACGG
rnacentral:rRNA from 1 species